rnacentral:rRNA from 1 species
ACGGAAGGCAGCAGUGGGGAAUAUUGCACAAUGGGCGCAAGCCUGAUGCAGCGACGCCGCGUGAGUGAAGAAGUAUUUCGGUAUGUAAAGCUCUAUCAGCAGGAAAGAAAAUGACGGUACCUGACUAAGAAGCCCCGGCUAACUCCGUGCCAGCAGCCGCGGUAAUACGGAGGAUGCAAGCGUUAUCCGGAUUUAUUGGGUUUAAAGGGUGCGUAGGCUGUCUGUCAAGUCAGUGGUGAAAGCCCUGAGCUCAACUCAGGAACUGCCAUUGAUACUGUCAGGCUGGAAUACGGAUGCCGUGGGAGGAAUGAGUAGUGUAGCGGUGAAAUGCAUAGAUAUUACUCAGAACACCGAUUGCGAAGGCAUCUCACGAAUCCGUCAUUGACGCUGAGGCACGAAAGCGUGGGGAUCAAACAGGAUUAGAUACCCUGGUA